rnacentral:rRNA from 1 species
AUUGAACGCUGGCGGCAUGCUUUACACAUGCAAGUCGAACGGUAACAGGCCGCAAGGUGCUGACGAGUGGCGAACGGGUGAGUAAUGCAUCGGAACGUGCCCAGUCGUGGGGGAUAACGCAGCGAAAGCUGUGCUAAUACCGCAUACGAUCUAUGGAUGAAAGCGGGGGACCGUAAGGCCUCGCGCGAUUGGAGCGGCCGAUGUCAGAUUAGCUAGUUGGUGGGGUAAAGGCCCACCAAGGCGACGAUCUGUAGCUGGUCUGAGAGGACGACCAGCCACACUGGGACUGAGACACGGCCCAGACUCCUACGGGAGGCAGCAGUGGGGAAUUUUGGACAAUGGGCGCAAGCCUGAUCCAGCAAUGCCGCGUGCAGGAAGAAGGCCUUCGGGUUGUAAACUGCUUUUGUACGGAACGAAACGGUCUGGGUUAAUACCCUGGGCUAAUGACGGUACCGUAAGAAUAAGCACCGGCUAACUACGUGCCAGCCGCCGCCGUAAGAC